AAAUAAAUAAACAUUAAAAAAUUAAAAUAAAAGAAAAUACAAUCUUAUAAGCAUGUUAAAGAUACUUACAUUUUUAUAAGUAGGUUUUAUAACUUACUGUUUUUCUUUUAAAUUUUCUUCAAGAGCAAUUUCCAACUUGACAGGCUAAUCCAGAAGCAAUGACGUCUAAAGGCAAGCACUGACACAACUGUACAAUUCUAUCAAAAGUGGUCGAUUUGGGAGGAAGGAAACUGGUGUGAUCAGUCUACUUGGAGUUAUGUAGGCCAAAGAAUGGGUGAUUUGUUUACUGUCUACUAAUACUAAAUUAAACCCAACAGCCGAUUGGCAUGCUGGUGAUGGGUGAUUGGAGCCAAGGCUUAGAAUUUAAAGCUCUAUACUGUUUUAAUAAAUACUGGGCUAUUUUGGAUCUUUUAACAUCUUUUGGUAAAGUCUAAAGGUUUUGAUUUUAAAAUAGAGGGUUCAUUCAGAAGAAAAGAUUUUUAUCUUCUUUAAUGAGUUGCAAAAACAUGCAAAAUAACAUCCUGAAGCUGUUGAAGUUAAAGUUUCUGAGCCUGAAAGGGUAAGAAAAACCCAGGAGUAUUUUGAUUCCCCCAGAUUUUUUGUUUGAUGUGUCUGGAGUUACACAUUAAAUAACUAAAUGCCCUUUCCUUCCCUUUUAAGCUUUUCAUCUUCAAAGAUUAAGCAAUAUAUAAUUAUUUAUUCCAGCACUAAUUUUUCUGUCUGCCAGUAAAAAUCUGUUCAUUUAAAAAUAUGUUUAAAAAGUACCUGAAUGCAUUAUGAAUUUAGCGACCAUACUUUAAUUCUAUAACUGCAGAUGAUAAAUCUAUAUUCAAAGAAGCAUUUCUGUAACUGACAGGAUAGUAACAUGUAUAAUGCAGGUCUCAUGAAUACUGAUUCUCUCUUGCUAGCUCUCUCUCUCUCUCUCUCUCUCUCUCACACACACACACACACACACACACACACACACACACACACUGAAUUUCAAAGUCAUUCCUGGAACAUUUUCCAAGCUUACAUUCACAAGUACCUUUCAAAGAAUUAGAUGUGUUUAUUUCAUAUAGUGAAAGGGAAAUGCAACUUAACAUUUGCCUGAUCCCAUAUAUAUUCCAAAAUUUAUUGAGCUUGUUUGUUGUUGUUGUUUGCUUAUUUGUUUACAAGCCUUACAUUGGUCUUCAAAUUUGAUUCUUUUAAAGAUGAGCAUGAUACAAGUGGUCUACAACAGACCAUUGACAGUACAGGAACUCAUGAAUUCUGGCAAUCCUCUGGGUAAUCAUAAACCAAACAAAUACAAAAGCUAAAACUCAAAACUUCUGAAUAUUGACUUUUGUAUUCUUGCUUUACUUUAUCAGAUUCUAUGAAAAAUAAGAGAAAACUGAAAAACGUGAUAAUUAAUUCUCUAAUUUUGAUAUUCUCUAUUCUUUUCUCCCUGUCCUUUCUUGCGUUAAUAUAGAUUUCUUUGAUAAAAUAAGAGGUAACAUUAAGCUGCUUUCCUCACUGUCUUUCAGAUAAUGCAUUAAAUAUUCUAUACUUAUUUAUUAAAUGCAUACUCAAAAUUUAUAGCUACAGAUAGUCACCUUGACUUUAUGCAGCUGUGUAAAUUUGGACUAAUUUUUAGCCAACAUACUGCAGCCACUGUAUCUGGAUCUGAAGAGUCUGAGUCAUUCCUGAAAUGCCUUCAUAAUAUUGUGUACUCACUCAGAACAUCUCUAGACCUCAUUUUGUGGAAGUUAGUUUGGUGGUUUAGCACACAGGUCUGGUCCUAAGGACACCUGGCUUCAAAUCUCAACCUUUCUCUUAUGUCAUUUUGGGCAAUUUUCUUAGCUUCUCUCUUCAUUUUUUAAAUGGAAAUAAAAUAAAUAGAAAUAAAUGGAAAUAAAAAUGGUAUCCAAAUUAUUUGGUGGUUAUGAGGAUUAAAUGAAAUAAUACAAUCAAAGUGCUGGGUGCUAAUUAAGUGUUCAAAAUGUUAGUUUCUAUUAUUAUGACAUCAUUCCAGAUCAGUUUAUCAGUGACCUCAUUACUUCAUAGCCAUAUUUUAUUUUGAUCUUACAAUACUAUUCCCUGGACUUAUCAGCCACUAUAUUUAUGAAACUUGCAUCUCAGCGACUUUUGACUAUAUUUGAAAAGCAAAUUUACUCUUGAUGGCAAUUAUUUCCUUACAUUAAACAAAAUGUGAAGAAACAAAACAAAAUGUGAAGCCAAAUGUGUUUUGAAGAAUGACUCAAGUUUACUCUUCUAGUCUAAGUAUCUUUAAGAAAGAAAUGUGAUAUUCAGGAGGCAGGAAGUAGAUGUCUCCUUCAGCUCCUUCAAUCUUGAAGGCAUUCAUUGAGCAUCUGUGCUUUGGCCAGGACUCCAAUUUCCUACAGCAGUGUGCAAAACUCCUGGAAGGAGGGGUCCAGGUCUUUUUCAGCAUUUCAUCCCCAGCAUUUAGGGAUAAUGAAGAGAAAAUGUAAGAACUUGUCUUAAAGAUAUUUUUCUAUUCAGACAGAAUAAGAAAGCCCCAGCAGUUACUUAGGAAUUUUGAUGGGGGUAGCAAAGGAAACUGGAACAAAGGAGCCAUAUUGCUGACCUAACUUCUGCAGAGCCUACCCUCUAGGGAUGCAUCCAAGAGUGGUGAUGGACCUCAGUUUCCUGUGACAAUGGGUCAGAUCUGAGGUGGGCUGGCAAUGUGAGAAGUUUGUGAUAUUGUACAGACUGGUUUAAAAGAGAAAUGAACUCAUCAAGUUGGCUUCACUUGAACCAUGCAUCAAGCUAACCUCUUUCUAUCAAUCCACAAAGAUUGAUUGAACACCUCCUAAUUGCCCAGCACUGUGCAAGACCCUAGGAGAGACAGAAAACAAGUAUAACUCUUGGCCAUCGUCUUUGGCAAUAUAAAAGUUUUUUGCCUUUAUCUUCCACUCUCUCGGGGAAUUACACUUUCUCCUCACGAACAGGCUUUUCAUCAAGUAUAUCUCUAGUCCACUCGCCUGAAUGGCAAUAACUCUUCUUUAAACAUUCCUAUCCUCUCACUCAGUUGUCCUCACAUUCCUAGCUUUGCACCUGCAAAGUGCCCCUGAGACUUCAGAGCAAAACUCAGUGACUUCCUUAGGGAAGAACAGAACAGGAAAAAUGAAAAGUGCGAAUAGAAGAAAAGAGACCACUCAACGCAUACAUUUAUCUACAAGUGUUUUAUAAUCCAUCUCUCUCUGAUUUUUAAUAUUCAACCUGUGCUUUACAAUAUUGGUUGUAUUUAUUAACAUAAUAUUUAUAAACAAAAUUAUAGUAUAAAUUUCAUGAACCCUAACAUCCAAGCAAAUGCUAAGCACAUAGAGAGAUCAGAGUAGAUUUAGCCAUGCCCCCAUUACAGAACAUUAACAACACUUGGGCUGCGUCACAUGCAGUAGCUAUAAAUGAAAUUUGUCUCCAAUCUGCAUACUUCUAAAUCCCCAAUUGAGGGCAUGUUUAAAAAUAAACAUGCCGCAGGAAAAAUAAGAUCAGUAUAAUAGCAAGAGAAAUUAGAGUGGCUAUUAGUAUAUUAAUUGAACACCAGAUGGAAAAGGAAAACAAAUAAUAGCAUGCCAGUCUCCACAAGAAAUGUCUUCUAAACAUUUUAGAAGAAAUUUUAAAACAACAUGUGGUAGUAAGGUGUAUGGGUAAUAUAUUUUCAGUUAUCCUGAGCUUGCUAGUGACCAAAAUAGCUUAUGUAUUAUACCACUACAGGAUAUGAAGUCAGAAAUUGUAGAGAAGUCCACCAGCAAUUUAAUUGGGAGUGACCUUUACAAAUAACAGAUACCAAGCUUUUCAUAUAAUUGUUGUUGGUUUAAUUAUCUGGGAACUGCGUGCGUGUGUGUGUGUGUGUGUGUGUGUACGUGUGCAUGCACGUGUUUGCAUGUGCUUAUCAAAUUCUGUUGUCUUUCUUGCCAUGUGCAAAUGUCAUACACAGUGACCCCGGUGGCCUGGGUGAAGAUUAAUGCCAUUCCAGUGGUUCAGAAGCCUGUGGGUGGCUUUGCUAUGGGCUGGCAUGUCAAGCAACUUCAGGAUGCUUCUUUGAGCUGUCCUUACUGAUCCCGCUCACAGUUGAAGCCUGUAAAAGGCAGUGUCUAACAACCCACAAUUUAGGAGCUGUUAUAUAAACUUCUUUUCUGAGAAAGAGAGAGAGAGGGAAAGCCAGCAAGUGAGGGAUAGAGGGAGAGAAAGAGAUUCCUAACCAGUCUCCAUGCCCAGCAUGGAGCCCUACAUGGGGGUUUAUUCCUAUGACUGUGAGAUCAUGACCUGAGCCAAAAUCAAGAGUCAGACGCCCAACCGACUGAGCCAUGCUGGGGCCCCAGAAGAUAUUAAAAAUUCCUUGAAUUAGUCCAGUUUUAGAAAAUGUGCCCAAAUAUAUAAAAGCGUUUGUUCCCUUGUUCAUUUCCAUAGGGAAUAAUUAUUUUCUGAUUUUCUCAUGUAUUGUAUUCUAAAAUAUAAAAAGAUUUUUGUGGAAUAAAGGACACUCCCUAAUGUAUGUCCCUACAGAUGUUUUAGCUAUGUUAAAACUGACUCUGAAAUGUCAAAGUUGAUAUAUUUAUUCUUUGUUAAAUUCUAUUAUUCAUCAAACUCUCUUGAACACAUACAAUGUGUCAGAUGUCAUUGGGCACAAAGUUGGAUCUCCUAAGUGAGAGUGAGUCCAGUCACCUUAUUCAGUCACUGUGAUGCAAUAGAGUAACAGCAGUAAUAUGGGUAAGGAAGACAUGUUAUGGGACCAUAGGUGGGAGAACAUUUAAGUCUGCCUGGGAAGGUCAAGGAAAACCUCAGGAUGUGGCCUUGAAGGUCAAGUAUGAAUUCUCUCAGGAAUGAGAAAAGCUGUUUCAAAAGACAGAAACCAAUUGAUAAAUCCUUAACGUAGUAUAUAUUCAUCCAUCAGAUCUUGCCUUUCCCAUUGUCUUCUAGAAAUUCAUUGUUACCAGAGGCUUCCAAGCUGGAUUUAGUAUACUCCUAGGAUGUCUCUUCACCAUCAUUCAGUGCUCUCAUCACUGUUUUAAUUAUUUGUUUUUCCAUACCCCUUCUAGAUAGUACUUCCCUCAGAGUGUCAAAACUACUCAUUGUGGAAUCCCUAGCCCAAUCAAUGCCUGGCACGUAGCAGCCACUCAUAGAAUAUUAAAUAAAAUAAUAAACAUUUGGGAUAACCUAAUGCGACAUGAAUGUAGGGGACAUGAUAGUCCGAGCCAGGUUGCAGUGGGCCUUAAGUGUGCUUCUAAAUGAGGUUACAGAUGUUACAUACCAGGCAGCAGGGAUUCAGUGACUGCUUUGAAUGGAGGAAUGAUGUGGUACCUUUAGUGGCAGGUGGGGUGUGGACUGAAAUGGGGAGUGACUGACUGGGAGAUGUGUCCUGGAUCUCCCUCCCUGAGUGGAACAGAUGCAUGGAUAGAUAUUAGAAUGCACCAACCUGCAACCUGGUUAUAGGCUUGGGAGCUGGAAGGGGACAGAUUCUUAAUAGUAACAUCCUGUGGGAUUUCUAAGUUCAUCACCAAGCCGACAUUGGAAUCUAGGUUACUGGGUUCUAGAACAUGGAGUGAAGGCAUAGGAGGCCAAGAAUAGAAGAUCAGGAAGUGAAGACCUGAAAGAAUUCCCGGUGCUGAGCAGCAAGCAGCCACCAUGAAUUUUCCCAGAUGCAGCUUGCUGUUAAGGGUGGUGAAAGAAGAGAAGCUGAGGCCUCUCAGUGGCUUCCUCGGUAACACUCAGAACUGGAACUAGAAUGAAAUAUUUAUGAAUUCACCGAUUCCUGAAGUGGUAUUAACAACCUACUGCAUGCAGGGAUUUGUGCUCUUUACACCGCACUGUUCCUACAACAAUCAGAAUUGGUUGGUUGGAGUGAAAAAUGCAAAAUAAAUACUUCAUUGAAUAGAAGGGGCACCAUUCCAGGUAUGAAAGAAUAUAAUUUUUUUUUAUAAACCCAGGGUGAUUUUAGCAGUUAAAAAAUGAAAACAAAAAACAUUAUGAUAACUUCCUCUGGUUUAUUUUGAAAUCCACCAAGAAAUUGAACAUUUCUUCAUGUGCAGGCAAUAGGAGAUAAAGCAUUAAGCUGAUUGUUGGUUGCCAUUCAAAAUGCAUUUUAGACUCUGUGGGAUGACAAAGGAGACUGGUAUCCAGGAAGGAUUGUUAUGUAUUUACAAGUACAUGGUCAAAUACCUGAAGCCUUUGAAACUAGAAGUGUUUUAGAAUGCAGAGUUUGUCAUUAGUAAGAAGGUAAAAUGGGCAUAUAGCAGACACCUUCUUCCAGAUCUGGUGUAGCACCCUCAGAUUAAACACAUUCAUUUUUCUGCUAAGAAAUGUGUAAGUAAUUCACACUGAGUGGGAUAAAUAAAGACUCUAAACAGCUUUGUGUCUAUUCAGAUCUGAUUUUGCUGCCAAGAGAGCUCAGAUUGGAUAUUGCCACCAAACGAGUUCAAAAAACUUUUGGUUUUCAAAAUUGUCGAUAAAGAAUUGUGAACCUAUAUUACCUUUAGGGAACUGGAGUUGGGGGUGAAGAGAGUUCACACAUUUUUCAGUUUGAGCAAAAUUAGUCACUGACCUUCCUGACAUAGAAUAUCAAUUCCCUUCUUAUCCUAAAAUAGUCCCUCAGUGUAUUCUAGGUAGGCUUUAGUGAAAGAAAGUCAACCAAUAGUUUAAUGAUGCUAUUUUUUGUCUACUUUAUUAUUACUGUUAUUGUCUAGCCAUGAAUCAUAUUAGUUCUCUUCUUACUGUUUUCUAAUGAAUAAAAUAAAACAAAAUGUGUGCUGUUUUGUUUUUUUGUUCGUGGCUCUUAGUUUGUAAUGUAGUGCGAGUACCCCAGCCAGACUGUCCCCAACCCAGUCCUACCUGCAGUGGGAGGAUCUCCCAUAGCCCAAGCUUUUCUCUCCAAGAAGAGCAUAAAGUCAAGUGAGCCCUUCUCACUGGGUAAGUUUUGAGUAAUCUUUGUGGCACUCUCUUAAGACCUAAAUAGACUUUAACCACCUUGCAUUGUGCAAUCCUUAAAUUCUAAAACCCUUGUAGCGGAGAAUGUGCAUCUCUUCCAGCCAGGCAGUGUGCUAAAAGGGAAAGACCACUAGGUACUUGACAGUUUGUGACAAAUCACAUUGAGUUACACAUGAUAACACAAGCUUAUUUUUAUUGUGAACUUUUUUCAUUGUAUUAUCUUUAUAUAUACUUUUGCCUCGCUGGUUGAAGGUCUUAGAGUAAGAGGAUUAUGAACUCAGCUUGGAACGACUCUUCCCUAAAAUGAAUUGUUAAUGUUUUAAAUACCAGAUACAGUUAAAAGGGUUUUCCUCACAUUUAAAUUUUUCUUGAUAAAACAUGUAUAAGUUUACUUAGUGUCUUUUUAGUAUUAACUCUUAUAGGAAAUGACACAUAAAAGAACAAAACAUUGUUAUGUCCCUCAGGGGAAGUUCAAUCUAGAGGGCAAAGGGCACAUAAUAAUACAUUAUAAUAUUUCUACUUACAGGCUAGAAUGGUAGGCUAGGAGGAUGGAAUUUGUCCCUAAAGUAUAGAAAGGAAGGAAGGGCAUUAGGGGAAGUAGGAAGAGCAUAGGCAAAACACAGAGGCAUGACAGUACAGUAGGACAUCAGGUGUGGCUGCAACAUGGAGGCUGGAAGGCUGCAGAUAACACUUGAAGCCGAAGAUGAAGAAUAAAUGAAUCAACUAAACAGGUACACUGUGUAACCCUAAGCAGUCCAGAGCAGUGCUGUUAGAAACUAGCAAUUUCACUGUGUCUGUCUUUCAUAUUUGUAAAUGAGCUAAAAACUAAGAUGCUUUGGGUUGAGGGGUGCCUAGGUGGUUCAAUCAGUUAAGCUUCUGACUCUUGAUUUCAGCUCAGGUCAUGAUCUCACUGUUUGUGGGAGUUUGA